AGGAUGAACGCUAGCUACAGGCUUAACACAUGCAAGUCGAGGGGCAGCAUAGUCAAAGCUUGCUUUGAUUGAUGGCGACCGGCGCACGGGUGAGUAACGCGUAUCCAACCUUCCCCUUAGUAGGGCAUAGCCCGGCGAAAGUCGGAUUAAUACCCUAUGUUGUGUCAUGAGGGCAUCUGACUAACACUAAAGAUUUAUCGCUAAGGGAUGGGGAUGCGUCCGAUUAGCUUGCCGGCGGGGUAACGGCCCACCGGGGCGACGAUCGGUAGGGGUUCUGAGAGGAAGGUCCCCCACACUGGUACUGAGACACGGACCAGACUCCUACGGGAGGCAGCAGUGAGGAAUAUUGGUCAAUGGGCGAGAGCCUGAACCAGCCAAGUAGCGUGCAGGAUGACGGCCCUAUGGGUUGUAAACUGCUUUUAUGCGGGGAUAAAGUGACGUACGUGUACGUUUUUGUAGGUACCGCAUGAAUAAGGACCGGCUAAUUCCGUGCCAGCCGCAGC
rnacentral:rRNA from 1 species